rnacentral:rRNA from 1 species
UUGGACCCACCUGAUUCCAUGCCGAACUCAGUAGUGAAACGAAGCAGCGCCGAUGGUAGUGUGGGGUCUCCCCAUGUGAGAGUAGGACAUCGCCAGGC